rnacentral:rRNA from 1 species
UACAGAGGUCCCAAGCGUUGUUCGGAUUCAUUGGGCGUAAAGGGUGCGUAGGCGGCGCGGUAAGUCGGGUGUGAAAUCUCGGAGCUUAACUCCGAAACUGCCUUCGAUACUGCGGGUCUCGAGUCCGGGAGAGGUGAGUGGAAUUCCUAGUGUAGAGGUGAAAUUCGUAGAUAUUAGGAAGAACACCAGUGGCGAAGGCGGCUCACUGGCCCGGUACUGACGCUGAGGCGCGAAAGCGUGGGGAGCAAACAGG